UUCUUUUAUUCUCUUUUUGUUCAAAAAAUAAUCAAUAAUGUUUAAUUCUGAUCAUAUUUCCAUCUAUAUGGUAGUGUUUCGGUGUUGAUUAAAUGGUGUUAAGUAUUAUAGAUAAUUGGGGAUUAUUUUAGCACUCACUAUCAACCAUUAUUGACGGUCCUAAAAGCUUCGCCGCCGAAAAUCCAGGCGAUUCUUCAACCUUCACUUUGAUUUGUACUUGAUCUGGUUUCUAUUGUUGCUAAAUUUCUUCAUUGUUGAUUUUCUAUGCCAAAAACUCAUCAACCUCUCUUUUCAACCCAUCGAUCUCUCUCUUCAUCCCAUCGAUCUACCAUGUCAAAAACCAAAAUGUUUUUCUUUCAGGCUGAGAUCAACCAAUUUCUCAUUCUUAUCAUCAACAUGUUCUAGUCUUACAAGGAUAUCUUUCUAAGGGAACUCAACUGUAACACCUCAGAUGCUGAAAGGUGUUGCAGCAAAAUGUUGAGAAAUUCUGCACAUAAAUUUGUAUCAAGUGGAAAAUUUGGGCGAAGAUGAUACACUGUCUUUGAUUUGUCACCAUGCUUUCGGACAGAAAUCAAUCCAUUUUGCAGCUAAUCACAACUUAGUCAAAUAGUUGUGGCUGAGUGUGGAAAGUUUCCAUUCGCUCUUAUAAUGGAUCUCAAAGUGAAUUUAUCAAUCAUGAUACCUUGCUUAUUCAACAUCAAGGAAGUUCAUAUCGCCUGGCUCUUCGACCAUUAAUCUUGGUGCUACUUCUUGUGUUCUAUCUCUUUAUUUAGUUAUAUUAAAAAUAUACAAUUUUAUCGGUUAACUUUCCUUCACUUGAAUUC